rnacentral:rRNA from 1 species
CCUACGGGAGGCAGCAGUGAGGAAUAUUGGUCAAUGGGCGGGAGCCUGAACCAGCCAAGUCGCGUGAGGGAAGACGGUCCUAUGGAUUGUAAACCUCUUUAGGCGGGGAGCAAUGCCGGGCACGUGUGCCCGGAGGGAGAGUACCCGCAGAAUAAGCAUCGGCUAACUCCGUGCCAGCAGCCGCGGUAAUACGGGGGAUGCGAGCGUUAUCCGGAUUUAUUGGUUUUAAAGGGUGCGUAGGCGGAUUUUUAAGUCAGCGGUAAAAUGUCCGGGCUCAACCCGGGCCGGCCGUUGAAACUGGGAGUCUUGAGUAGGCGAGAAGUAUGCGGAAUGCGUGGUGUAGCGGUGAAAUGCAUAGAUAUCACGCAGAACUCCGAUUGCGAAGGCAGCAUACCGGCGCGCAACUGACGCUCAUGCACGAAAGCGUGGGUAUCGAACAGGAUUAGAUACCCCUGUAGUC